GACCUGUGUCGCCUCCUCUCUUCUUUUCAUACAUAUAAUUUUAUUUUAAUUCACCCAAUAAUAAUAAUAAAGCCCUGCUUCGUUUUAAGUAUUAUAACUCCCAAUCACCGCUACCCUUUCCGAUUGAUCUGAGUCUCAUAACGCAUGUCAAGGCUCUGCCCGACUAAGUUCGUUUGGAUUCUAUCUCGGAACAUCGGGACAAGGUUGAUUUAGGGAUACUAUACUUACCACAAGUGGAAUAUAUAUUUUUAAUAGCCCAAAGGUUAUACCCAAAAUUUAUACCAGGAGUCCUUCUAGUUGAACCCUAAAGUUACACAGUGAGUCCAUUCCUUUUUCCCACCAUUCUACUCUCUUUUUGUAAGUUACCCAAAAUUAUUAUUUAUUAUUUAUUAUUUCUAUUUUAUAAACAAACUUUCAUCAAAAGUCAUGCCUAUUAUUUUAUUUACCCAAUAGGGAACCAUAGUUGAGACACCCAAGUAAUCCUGCACAACUCCUAAAAUUUUCAUAGCAAUCAGAAUCAGGAUCAGGGCCCCUAAAACUCAAGGGGGGCAAAACCUAGUUGACGAUUAUCUUCAUAACUCAUUAUAAAAUUCGAAAAUUUAAAAACGGUCGACACAGCAAGCCUACAUGCACAAAGGGCUACUCUAUGAAAGUAGGGUGAUCACUCGCGUAGCGCGACGCCUAUAGGGGUACCCCCUCGCGCUACGCGACGGUGUCAAAAUUUCAGUAUAAAUAGCAGGGGUUGGGACUUGAAUUUUGGCAUUUGAACGACGAAAAUCGGAGUUACGUAAGCCAAGUUAUAAGCAAAACAGUCCAACACACACACACAAUUAUCGAAUCGCUGCCGCAAAACAGGGUAAUUAGUCAAUCGCUAUUACGACUCAGUUUCAGGGAUCAAUAUACCCAAAGAAUGUCUAAAUGCCGCCCACAUUGGGCUAUGCUUUAUCGUUGUCGAUAAUUCGAUAAUGAGCCGAAGCAUUGUACUUUGUCGUUGUCGAUAAUUCGAUAUACGAGUUGAAGUACUAUACUUUGUCGUUUGUCAUUUUGAUAAAUGAGCUGAAGUAUUGCACUUGGACAUUCAUUGUAAAAAUUGAUCUCGGGAAAUUAUCGUAACUGCUGUAUUGAUCAUUAACCUGGUUCUUGUAAAAUUCGUUAAGAGUUGAUUUAGGUUUUCACCAAUACAUAUUCUAUUCUGUUAAACCACCAGAAAUACUCCCAACUACACCCUUACAAUCAAACAAACUAUAAAAUCAUCAGAAGAUCCAGAAUAAUAAAGUGCAUGGUUAAUUAUCAGAAGAAAUAGAAUCAAGAAAUUUGUUAACUCAAUCCUGCAUACUGAUUGCCGGUAUGUGGGGUAAUUACAAUAGAUUGGAGUAAGGAUUGGAUCCGACACUGAAGGACUUCAAGAAGUGGCUUAUUUUCAAAUUAAGAAAUAUUAUUUUUAUUAAAAGCUACCUUUGUAAAACUUGGAAUUUAUUUUCAUCCAUUUAAAUAAAAUCCGGUGUUUCUAAACUCUGAUAUUUUUCCUAACUCACGGUCCUGAUGAAAUUUCCGCUGCAAUGUUUUUCAAAAUAAUCACCGGUACCACUGGACUGCUCACGACACCGAUUCCGGCUAGAUGGGGUCGGGGGUCGUGACAUUAGCCGAGAGUAUGCUUAUGUGGAUUAAUGAUAACGAUGGUGUGAACAUGCUUGUCGAUUUCUAUUAGGAUACAUGGUUCUAACUACCUAAAUGUUACAGAUAAUACGAUGACAUGGGGCUGUUGAUGUCCAGAUUAAAAUAAAUACAGAAUUCAGCGAUAAUGACUAAGAACGAUAAGAGUUAAAACGCAAACAGAACUGGGUCGAUGUUGAGGGUUGGGCCACACGUUUAAUCGUUCACACAUAGCUGUAAUGUUAGGAUUGAUGCUUCAUAAUUGGCCGCCUGCAUAAAUGAUUUAAUGGUGGACCGAACACAUGUAACAUCAGUUCUUUUUUUAUCACUGUUAUAAACCUAGUACUCGUGAUCUGGGCCUAUUGUGCGGACUGAAUAUUAUAACAGGUCCCGUUCAUAUGGUUUGAAUUAUUGGGUGGAUUAACAAGGGGGGGUCACACCUGGAAACUGCACUCGGUUACAAGCAACUGAGGCCAUCUCUUUCGGAUGGGCUGUAAGCUACGGUGUGUUUGGGCCGCAAUGGGAAAUGGUGCAGGCUACGUACUACAACAGUUGGGCCAGGCCUGUUAGGCUUCGUUGUGAGGCCGGGCUGAACCCUUGGGCCGCACACUUGUUGUAAUAUCCUGUUGGGCCAAAGUCCAAGCCGGGUUGUAUAUGUGUUGGUGCUUUAUUUAUGAAUUAAUAAUGUUAUGUAUAUUGCUAAUGGGCCGGAUACAAACAGUCUAGGAGUGGUGUAAUCUAGUCGGGUCAAGGGAUUAGUGAAAUGUUGUGAUUGCAUAAACCUUGUGAAUUAUAUUAAUUUCGUUGAAAUCAUGAACUGAU
rnacentral:lncRNA from 1 species